GAGCCUUCAACCAGGCCCAAUCUUCCAUCCUCCCUUUUUUUGAGUUUCACAGCCUUAGCCAUGGUUUGGGUGCAGCAAAGCUCCCUAAGGGCCCAUUGGGAUUCUUGGCCAAUACCGGCACCCAAACACCACUAAAAUGUUGAACAAGUACAGUGUAGAAUUACUAUCCUUGUGCAUCAAUGUUCAAUGGGUACUCAAACAUACCCAAAGCAAUGCUUACACGAAGGGGGUAGAUCCUAAACUCUAGGAGUAGUAAGAGUGUGAUAGAGUUUUUUUUAAGAAAUUGAGUAGAAAAAUAGUUUAAAAAUGAUCCACAUAGAAUUCGUUUUGUAAGAAAACAAUAUGACAAUUCUGACAACCUCAGAACCAAAAUACCAUGUAAGGACACAGAGAGCUUAGGUAGUCACACCAGGUUUCAACCAAACGGGCUCAAGAUUACAUACUGAUAAGGUACUGGGGCUAGGGGUAGGGGAGAACAUGCAUUAAGCCAUUCAGUAGGCAUGCUGAAUUAAGAGGACAGUCACAUUAAUGAACUAACACAUGGGCAUGUUAGUUGCAAUAAAAAUAGCAUAACCAUAAGUAAAAGCAUAGAAGAAACAAAAUAAAGUGCAGUAUGUAUAAAAACACAUUAUUUUGGAAGCUGUAAGUCAAAUAGAGGGAAUACUAGUCGAGGAUGAGUUACUAUAGAGUAGAAGUGUGCAGGGAUGUAGAGCAGUAGUAUGCAGGCCAAGAAAGUAGCAAUGUAUUGAGAAGUAGAAUAGUAGAGCAACCUAAAAUUACUCAGUCUUGCCUUUCAGCUGACUAAAU
rnacentral:lncRNA from 1 species